UCCAGAUUCAAUGCAGUGACGGCAGAAAGUGUAUGGGCAUGAAGAUUCAAAGAAAAAGAUGCGGCCGUUGAAAGAUUUAUAUGCUCCUUUGCUCCAGGUACCUGAACCACUAAGGCCAGUUUCACCAAAUUCAUUUAGUCCAGAAGCACCAACACCAAGUUCAUCUGCACUCUUACCUCCUCCACCACUUCCAGAAUCAGAAGACCAAGUGUUUCCUCCUAAUGGAAAUCAAAAGAUUGAAGAUUUGUGGCAACCCUGUGACUACCAACUCUAUUGAAACCAUUUCUCCAAUAGCAUGAGCUCACUUCAGGU
rnacentral:lncRNA from 10 species